rnacentral:rRNA from 1 species
GAUGAACGCUGGCUACAGGCUUAACACAUGCAAGUCGAGGGGAAACGACGGGGAAGCUUGCUUCCCCGGGCGUCGACCGGCGCACGGGUGAGUAACGUGUAUCCAACCUGCCUCUGAAUGAGGGAUAACCCGUUGAAAGUCGGCCUAAUACUUCAUGGUAUUGUCUGCGGGCAUCCAACGACGAUUAAAGAUUUCAUCGGUCAGGGAUGGGGAUGCGUCUGAUUAGCUUGUGGGCGGGGUAACGGCCCACCAAGGCUACGAUCAGUAGGGGUUCUGAGAGGAAGGUCCCCCACAUUGGAACUGAGACACGGUCCAAACUCCUACGGGAGGCAGCAGUGAGGAAUAUUGGUCAAUGGGCGAGAGCCUGAACCAGCCAAGCAGCGUGCAGGAAGACGGCCCUAUGGGUUGUAAACUGCUUUUAUGCGGGGAUAAAGUGAGGGACGUGUCCCUCAUUGCAGGUACCGCAUGAAUAAGGACCGGCUAAUUCCGUGCCAGCAGCCGCGGUAAUACGGAAGGUCCCGGCGUUAUCCGGAUUUAUUGGGUUUAAAGGGAGCGUAGGCCGUGGAUUAAGCGUGUUGUGAAAUGCAGGUGCUCAACGUCUGCACUGCAGCGCGAACUGGUCCACUUGAGUGUGCGCAACGCAGGCGGAAUUCGUCGUGUAGCGGUGAAAUGCUUAGAUAUGACGAAGAACUCCGAUUGCGAAGGCAGCUUGCGGGAGCACAACUGACGGUGAAGCUCGAAAGUGCGGGUAUCGAACAGG